rnacentral:rRNA from 1 species
GACGAACGCUGGCGGCGUGCUUAACACAUGCAAGUCGAACGGAAAGGCCCUGCUUUUGUGGGGUGCUCGAGUGGCGAACGGGUGAGUAACACGUGAGUAACCUGCCCUUGACUUUGGGAUAACUUCAGGAAACUGGGGCUAAUACCGGAUAGGAGCUCCUGCUGCAUGGUGGGGGUUGGAAAGUUUCGGCGGUUGGGGAUGGACUCGCGGCUUAUCAGCUGGUUGGUGGGGUAGUGGCUUACAAAGGCUUUGACGGGUAGCCCGCCUUAGAGGGUGACCGGCCACAUUGGGACUGAGAGACGGCCCAGACUCCUACGGGAGGCAGCAGUGGGGAAUAUUGCACAAUGGGCGGAAGCCUGAUGCAGCAACGCCGCGUGCGGGAUGACGGCCUUCGGGUUGUAAACCGCUUUCGCCUGUGACGAAGCGUGAGUGACGGUAAUGGGUAAAGAAGCACCGGCUAACUACGUG